AUACUUACUAGGCAGGUGAGAUAUUGUGAUUACGAAGGUGGUUUACCCAGAGUGGGCUUAUCCAUUGCACUCUGGAUAUUCUGACCCCUGUGACUUCCCCUAAUGUGGAAAACCCAAGGCAUAAUUUGUGGUAGUGAGGAAUUUCGUUUGCACUCUCCCUCA
ensembl:snRNA U1 U1 spliceosomal RNA